rnacentral:rRNA from 1 species
UACGUAGGGGGCUAGCGUUGUCCGGAAUCAUUGGGCGUAAAGCGCGUGUAGGCGGUCCGGUAAGUCCGCUGUGAAAGUCGGGGGGCUCAACCCUCGGAUGCCGGUGGAUACUGUCGGGCUAGAGUGCGGAAGAGGCGAGUGGAAUUCCUGGUGUAGCGGUGAAAUGCGCAGAUAUCAGGAGGAACACCUAUUGCGAAGGCAGCUCGCUGGGACGUAACUGACGCUGAGACGCGAAAGCGUGGGGAGCAAACAGG